ACACUCCUAAACCCGUGACGAGAUUUCGUCAGACACCAGACAAUCAGGACUGAUCAAACUCCCAAGAUAAGUGAGGUU
rnacentral:pre_miRNA from 1 species